CCGCAAGUGCUACAGUAGAUUAUCAGCUUCAGACAAUGUGAACGGGCAACGCAGCUUGUGAGCAGCUUCAUGACCGGAAUGCUGUUCGCAAAGGUCAGCGGCCAAAGACAGAAAAGUCUCACAACCUUCCUCCGGUCCUCGCAGCUGGCUGCGGACUUCAGUCCCCUCUGGAUUCCAACCCUCUCCUGCUUUCCCUUUUUCCUAAUGUCAAAGAAGCUCAGAUUUCAAGACGGGUGAAGAUGAUUUUUAGGGAAAUAGUCCCUCAUCUUCUGCAAUCAGGCAUUGCACAGUGUUUCGGUGGGUCAAAGGUCCAGCAGUGAAUGGGGUACUAUUUCAUUUCCUCUUGGCGACUUCAAUAUUCACGGCAAGGCUUGAAUGUGUUUUGGAACAUGGCGGUUCCCUACAUAUUCCCUGGGGCUGUGGAAUGUGAAGGGGGAAGUGGAGCCGGCUGCCUUCCUGUACGUAAAAGCUAUAGAAUGUGGCUGCAAGCAUUUUUGUCUCUUUAAGACAUAAAAUAAAGUGUGUAAUUAUUCACAGUCACAAAUUAAAGUAAAAUCAUAAUAAAAAAAUAAGAUGAAACCUGAA